GACGAACGCUGGCGGCGUGCCUAAUACAUGCAAGUCGAGCGAGCAGAACUAACAGAUCUACUUCGGUAGUGACGUUUCGGAAGCGAGCGGCGGAUGGGUGAGUAACACGUGGGUAACCUGCCCUUAAGUCUGGGAUACCACUUGGAAACAGGUGCUAAUACUGGAUAACAACAAGUGCUGCAUGGCACUUGCUUGAAAGGCGGCGUAAGCUGUCGCUAAAGGAUGGACCCGCGGUGCAUUAGCUAGUUGGUAAGGUAACGGCUUACCAAGGCAACGAUGCAUAGCCGAGUUGAGAGACUGAUCGGCCACAUUGGGACUGAGACACGGCCCAAACUCCUACGGGAGGCAGCAGUAGGGAAUCUUCCACAAUGGGCGAAAGCCUGAUGGAGCAACGCCGCGUGAGUGAAGAAGGUUUUCGGAUCGUAAAGCUCUGUUGUUGGUGAAGAAGGAUAGAGGUAGUAACUGGCCUUUAUUUGACGGUAAUCAACCAGAAAGUCACGGCUAACUACGUGCCAGCAGCCGCGGUAAGAC
rnacentral:rRNA from 1 species